ACCUUCUGGAGGAGAAACUCUUACUAGAGGUCCCCAUGAGGCAGAAAUGUCAUCUAAGGAAAUUUUUUUGGUCCAGCUGACCUUCCUCUCAAGCUCUUCCUCAAACCCAUGAUCAAUACCUAGCUUUUACAAGGGUGUUAAACAAUGUAUUUAAAGUGUUAGAAAAAAACCACAUAACUAUAGCAUAAAAAUAUGUGUUAAAAUAAAUAUGUAAAUACACCAAUAAGUUACAAAAAUAUACGUGAAGUUGACAGGGUUUCCCCCACCCCUCUUCGUGCAGCACAAUAUGAAAAACAAAGUCUUCAAAGGACAACUGGGUCUCCUAAGUCAUGAUGAUAUUAUCAGCUAUUCUACUAUCCAGGACACGUUUUGUACCUUUAUGAUAAAACCCACACAAACCACAGCUCUAGGCUGCUUAGAUUGUCAUGGUAAUCAGCAUUCCUGCCAAGGCUUCUGUUUCUUCAGGCAGGCUGAGCCAGCAUAUUUUAUCACAGCCACAAAUAACAAGAUCUUUCAUGCAGCCUCUCUGCAGGAGAAAAAGUGAACUAAUUGCAAAAAUACUAAGGAACAAAAAAGGGGUUAUCCUACAUUUAUUGUCAUGUUUUAUGGCUGAGGCAGCAGGACAUUUAAUUAAAUUUUAAUGCUUUUUAAAAAUCCUUCUGUACAAAGUCAGCCUUUGGAUUAAGUCUUUUCAUUUUUGCCUUUGUCCAAUAGCUAGCUUUUUUUUCGUGAAAGAUGCAAAAAAAUCCUGCAGAGCUCUUCCAAAUGAUUCAAGAUAAUCACAGCAUUCUUCCCGAUUCAGCAUCCAUCUGAGUAGAUUGUACUACUUGCUGCUUGACAGUAAAGGGAAAAAGAAAGAAAAAGGGGGUGGUGGUGUUGGUUUAUUUCUGUUGGUUUGUUUGUUUUCAAUUACUUUAUUUUCAGUAUGUCUGCAUACUUCAAAUUUGGAAAACGCAAACCUGUGAAAUACUAAGUUGAGCGCUUUUUGUGAUUACCAGCGUGUGAAAUGUUGGUUAGUCAUGCAGACAGGGCAGAUAAGUAGGUAGAUGGCAGUCACAAGAAA
rnacentral:lncRNA from 1 species